AUCUACCUGACGAGUCCUAAAUAGAACGAAACGUGCAUUCUAGAU
rnacentral:hammerhead_ribozyme from 1 species